CCUACGGGCGGCUGCAGUGGGGAAUAUUGGACAAUGGGCGAAAGCCUGAUCCAGCCAUGCCGCGUGUGUGAAGAAGGCCUUCGGGUUGUAAAGCACUUUCAGUGGGGAAGAAAGCCUUGGGGCUAAUACCCUCGAGGAAGGACAUCACCCACAGAAGAAGCACCGGCUAACUCCGUGCCAGCAGCCGCGGUAAUACGGAGGGUGCGAGCGUUAAUCGGAAUUACUGGGCGUAAAGCGCGCGUAGGCGGUCUGAUAAGCCGGUUGUGAAAGCCCCGGGCUCAACCUGGGAACGGCAUCCGGAACUGUCAGGCUAGAGUGCAGGAGAGGAAGGUAGAAUUCCCGGUGUAGCGGUGAAAUGCGUAGAGAUCGGGAGGAAUACCAGUGGCGAAGGCGGCCUUCUGGACUGACACUGACGCUGAGGUGCGAAAGCGUGGGUAGCAAACAGGACUAGAUACCCGUGUAGUC
rnacentral:rRNA from 1 species